rnacentral:rRNA from 1 species
GAUGAACGCUGGCGGCGUGCCUAACACAUGCAAGUCGAACGGAGCUUAAUUACUCGGUUUUUAAGCUUAGUGGCGGACGGGUGAGUAACGCGUGAGCAAUCUGCCUUUCAGAGGGGGAUAACGAUUGGAAACGAUCGCUAAUACCGCAUAAUGUAUUGGGACGGCAUCGUCUGAAUACCAAAGGAGCAAUCCGCUGAAAGAUGAGCUCGCGUCUGAUUAGAUAGUUGGCGGGGCAACGGCCCACCAAGGCGACGAUGCGUAGGGGUUCUGAGAGGAAGGUCCCCCACACUGGUACUGAGACACGGACCAGACUCCUACGGGAGGCAGCAGUGAGGAAUAUUGGUCAAUGGGCGCAGGCCUGAACCAGCCAAGUCGCGUGAGGGAUGACGGUCCUACGGAUUGUAAACCUCUUUUGUCGGGGAGUAACGUGCGGGACGCGUCCCGUAUUGAGAGUACCCGAAGAAAAAGCAUCGGCUAACUCCGUG